rnacentral:rRNA from 1 species
UACGAAGGGUGCGAGCGUUGUUCGGAAUUAUUGGGCGUAAAGGGUUCGUAGGUGGGAAGGUAAGUCGAGUGUGAAAUCCCUGAGCUUAACUCAGGACGUGCACCCGAAACUGCUUUUCUUGAGUAUUGGAGAGGGUCGUGGAAUUGCUGGUGUAGGAGUGAAAUCCGUAGAUAUCAGCAGGAACACCAGAGGCGAAGGCGGCGACCUGGCCAAAUACUGACACUGAGGAACGAAAGCGUGGGGAGCAAACAGG